CCCGUAGGCGGGCAGCUAAGUCAGUGGUGAAAGUCUGCAGCUCAACUGUAGAAUUGCCAUUGAUACUGGUUGUCUUGAAUUAUUAUGAAGUGGUUAGAAUAUGUAGUGUAGCGGUGAAAUGCAUAGAUAUUACAUAGAAUACCAAUUGCGAAGGCAGAUCACUAAUAAUAUAUUGACGCUGAUGGACGAAAGCGUGGGGAGCGAACAGGAUUAGAUACCCUGGUAGUCC
rnacentral:rRNA from 1 species